AACGAACGCUGGCGGCAUGCCUAACACAUGCAAGUCGAACGAGACCUUCGGGUAUAGUGGCGCACGGGUGCGUAACGCGUGGGAACCUGCCCUUAGGUUCGGAAUAACUCCCCGAAAGGGGUGCUAAUACCGGAUAAUGUCUUCGGACCAAAGAUUUAUCGCCUUUGGAUGGGCCCGCGUUGGAUUAGCUAGUUGGUAGGGUAAAAGCCUACCAAGGCGACGAUCCAUAGCUGGUCUGAGAGGAUGAUCAGCCACACUGUGACUGAGACACGGCCCAGACUCCUACGGGAGGCAGCAGUGGGGAAUAUUGGACAAUGGGCGAAAGCCUGAUCCAGCAAUGCCGCGUGAGUGAUGAAGGCCUUAGGGUUGUAAAGCUCUUUUACCCGGGAUGAUAAUGACAGUACCGGGAGAAUAAGCUCCGGCUAACUCCGUG
rnacentral:rRNA from 1 species